CAGAGUUGCAAAACUCCCACAAACCAUCGCGAAUCUUACCCGUACGGUUGCCUCGGCGCUGGCGGUCCGGAAGGCCCUCGGGCCCCCCGGAUCCUCGGGUCUCCCGCUCGCGGGAGGCUGCCCGCCGGAGUGCCGAAACCAAACUCUUGAUAUUUUAUGUCUCUCUGAGUAAACUUUUAAAUAAGUC
rnacentral:misc_RNA from 1 species